rnacentral:rRNA from 1 species
UACAGAGGUCUCAAGCGUUGUUCGGAUUCAUUGGGCGUAAAGCGUGCGUAGGUGGUGAGUUAAGUCUGUCGUGAAAGCCCCGGGCUCAACCUGGGAAUGGCGAUGGAUACUGGCUCGCUAGAGUGCGGUAGAGGAGAGUGGAAUUCCCGGUGUAGCAGUGAAAUGCGUAGAGAUCGGGAGGAACAUCAGUUGCGAAGGCGGCUCUCUGGACCAGCACUGACACUGAGGCACGAAAGCGUGGGGAGCAAACAGG